rnacentral:rRNA from 1 species
AUUGAACGCUGGCGGCAUGCCUUACACGUGCAAGUCGAACGGUAACAGGUCUUCGGAUGCUGACGAGUGGCGAACGGGUGAGUAAUACAUCGGAACGUGCCUAGUAGUGGGGGAUAACUACUCGAAAGAGUGGCUAAUACCGCAUGAGAUCUACGGAUGAAAGCAGGGGAUCGCAAGACCUUGUGCUACUAGAGCGGCCGAUGUCAGAUUAGGUAGUUGGUGGGAUAAAAGCUUACCAAGCCGACGAUCUGUGGCUGGUCUGAGAGGACGAGCAUCCACCCGGGGACUGAGACACGGCCCAGACUCCGACGGGAGGCAGCAGUGGGGAAUUUUGGACAAUGGGCGAAAGCCUGAUCCAGAAAUGCCGCGUGCAGGAUGAAGGCCUUCGGGUUGUAAACUGCUUUUGUACGGAACGAAAAGCCCCGGGUUAAUACCCUGGGGUCAUGACGGUACCGUAAGAAUAAGCACCGGCUAACUACGUGCCAGCCGCCGCAGUAA